UGUGUGUGUGUGUCUAGAAUAUAUGUGUUUCAGAAUUUGCGGACACGGAUUGCACAGCAUGAUUGUAUGCCAAAAGAAGCAACUUUUUCGUCUGCCAAAAUUGUGU